rnacentral:rRNA from 1 species
GAGUUUGAUCAUGGCUCAGAUUGAACGCUGGCGGCAGGCCUAACACAUGCAAGUCGAGCGAGAAAGCACUUCGGUGUGAGUAGAGCGGCGGACGGGUGAGUAACGCGUAGGAAUUUGCCCAGUAGUGGGGGACAACAUGUGGAAACGCAUGCUAAUACCGCAUACGCCCUAAGGGGGAAAGCAGGGGAUCUUCGGACCUUGCGCUAUUUGGAGAAGCCUGCGCGGAUUAGCUAGUUGGUAGGGCAAAGGCCUACCAAGGCGACGAUCCGUAGCUGGUCUGAGAGGAUGAUCAGCCACACUGGGACUGAGACACGGCCCAGACUCCUACGGGAGGCAGCAGUGGGGAAUAUUGGACAAUGGGCGAAAGCCUGAUCCAGCCAUGCCGCGUGUGUGAAGAAGGCCUUAGGGUUGUAAAGCACUUUCAGUAGGGAGGAAAAGUUAGUCGUUAAUAACGGCUAACCCUGACGUUACCUACAGAAGAAGCACCGGCAAACUCCGUGUCAGCAGCCGCGGUAAUACGGAGGGUGCGAGCGUUAAUCGGAAUUACUGGGCGUAAAGCGCGCGUAGGCGGCCUGAUAAGUUGGAUGUGAAAGCCCUGGGCUCAACCUGGGAAUUGCAUUCGAAACUGCAGAGCUAGAGUACAGUAGAGGGGGGUAGAAUUUCAGGUGUAGCGGUGAAAUGCGUAGAGAUCUGAAGGAAUACCAGUGGCGAAGGCGGCCCCCUGGACUGAUACUGACACUGAGGUGCGAAAGCGUGGGUAGCGAACAGGAUUAGAUACCCUGGUAGUCCACGCCGUAAACGAUGUCUACUAGCCGUUGGGAGGCUUGACCUCUUAGUGGCGCAGCUAACGCGAUAAGUAGACCGCCUGGGGAGUACGGCCGCAAGGUUAAAACUCAAAUGAAUUGACGGGGGCCCGCACAAGCGGUGGAGCAUGUGGUUUAAUUCGACGCAACGCGAAGAACCUUACCAAGUCUUGACAUCCUGCGAACUUUCUAGAGAUAGAUUGGUGCCUUCGGGAACGCAGUGACAGGUGCUGCAUGGCUGUCGUCAGCUCGUGUCGUGAGAUGUUGGGUUAAGUCCCGUAACGAGCGCAACCCUUGUCCUUAUUUGCCAGCACGUAAUGGUGGGAACUUUGAGGAACUGCCGGUGAUAAGCCGGAGGAAGGUGGGGAUGACGUCAAGUCCUCAUGGCCCUUAUGGGCUGGGCUACACACGUGCUACAAUGGUGGUGACAAUGGGCAGCGAAGGGGCGACCUGGAGCUAAUCCCCAAAAGCCAUCUCAGUUCGGAUUGCACUCUGCAACUCGAGUGCAUGAAGUUGGAAUCGCUAGUAAUCGUGGAUCAGCAUGCCACGGUGAAUACGUUCCCGGGCCUUGUACACACCGCCCGUCACACCAUGGGAGUUGGUUUUACCCGAAGCCGGUGCGCUAACCAGUUUACUGGAGGCAGCCGACCACGGUAGGGUCAGCGACUGGGGUGAAGUCGUAACAAGGUAACC